rnacentral:rRNA from 1 species
AAUAUUGGACAAUGGGCGCAAGCCUGAUCCAGCCAUGCCGCGUGAGUGAUGAAGGACUUAGGGUUGUAAAGCUCUUUUAGCAGGGACGAUAAUGACGGUACCUGCAUAAAAAACCUCGGCCACCUUCGUGCCUGCAGACGCGGUAAUACGAAGGGGGCUAGCGUUGACAGGAAUCACGGGCCGUAAAGCGCACGUAGGUGGGUGGUUAAGUCGGGGGUGAAAUCCCAGAGCUCAACUCUGGAACUGACUUCGAUACUGGCGACCUUCGAGUUCGGGAGAGGUGAGUGGAACUGCGAGUGUAGAGGUGAAAUUCGUAGAUAUUCGCAAGAACACCAGUGGCGAAGGCGGCUCACUGGCCCGAUACUGACACUGAGGUGCGAAAGCGUGGGGAGCAAACAGG